CAUAUAACCAUAGGAACCAACGUCGAAAAAAAACCUUUUCUGUUACUGAAUAUUCCAAGACUUUUUCUUAUUUUUUAAAUUAUCAAAAAUGCAAGGUUUCGAACGCUUUGCUUUCUUUCUUGUUUUACAUUGAAAUAAUCUUACCAUCGUGAAAUGGCUCUGUUGAGUUUCCUUCUUGUUUUUUAUUCCUUAUUUGAUCCGUGAAAUGUGAAAUAAGUGCAUCAAUCAUGGCAGCUUGCUUUGAAAACACCUGCACAAGUUUUGAUACUUGUAUUCCGUUUUCGACGGCAUCAAACUGAAAAAUGAGAUGUAUUAAUAGAUAUGUAAGACAUUCCGCAUCAUCAGUUGCACUUGGCUUUGCAUAAUCCCAAGACAAAUCCUCAUAUCGCAGACCCAACAAUAACGUCUAUGAGAUAAACAAUUUCAAAUGUAUGUUAUUUAGAGUCACGACACAGUCCUCAUUAACGCAAUCAGGACCUCCAUAUCUUUUUGGUUGACCAACGCCAUAAUACCCCUUACAGGUUGCUCCAUUUGUCCGUGGAAAAAUGCAGCCCUGUGAAAAGAACGUUUCUCAUUGAAUGAUUGAAGAUGAGAGUCUGAUAUAAUGCAACAAAAGAUGAGAUCAAGGUAUAAACAUAAGCUUGGUGAACAGUAUGUACAGUAUGCAGAAUAACAACAGGAUCAGUGAAUUAAAAUUAAGUACCAGCUUUUCAAACUAUAUUUCAUAGAUAAAUGUAGUUGUACAGUUUUCAUCUCGCACAUAUCUGUGUUAAUAUUC